ensembl:lncRNA novel transcript, antisense to NUAK1
GCCACACAGGGCAUGGUGCUGGUGAAGAAGUCAGGUUUCUCCAUGUGGGACGCCAGCAACCACAGACUGCCUCUCAAAUAAAGAACCUGGAACCUUCAUGCUGAGAAUGCACUCUCUUUCCCUUCCUGAUAAAGAAGGCUCCUGCUCUGGGCCAAGAAAUCCCAAAACACAAUAGUGUUCUCAGGGCACAGGAUUGUAUGGCUCCACACCCUACAGGGUCUCACUUGGUUGCCCAGGCUGGAAAGCAAUGGCACAAUCUUGGCUCACUGCAACCUGUGCCUCCUAGGUUCAAGCUAUUCUCCUGCCUCAGCCUUCCAAAUAGCUGGGAUUACAGGCACAUGCCACCACAACCAGGGUCUUAAAACAUAAAUGAUAGUCUGUGGGCGGUUUAUUCUCUCCAUUUCUUCUCAUGAAGGACCAAGGAGUUGAACUGAAGCCUGAGCGUCUGUAUAAGCUUUUCCCCAUGCUGCUCUUUUUUGCAAACACCAACACAAUUUGGGCUCCAUUUAUAAGGCAUCUGCUGCACCAACCCUCUUUCUUGGUGCUUACUGGACCUGCUCAGGGUUAAUUUCUAACUCAAAGAACCUAACUUGGAGUAACUCCGUACCACCAGCAAAGCGACUGGCUUUGGGGAAUGACAUUUACAAUGUAUCCACUGUUAUUUGGUCACCCAGCAAACUGUCAUUUUUCAGAAACCAGGGCUGUCUCACAAACUGGCUUUCAAUAAGGUGGGUUGCUUAGCAACUGCCAAGG